rnacentral:lncRNA from 1 species
ACAAACCCAACCCAGAAGCGAUGGUAAGUGUGGUACAUGCUGUAAUAGUUACGAACAUUUUGAGAAUGCACACUUUUACGUUACCCCUAUUAUUUUCUUAUAUAUUUAAUCAUAUCAAUAGGCAGCAGAACCACCCCUAAAUAAAAUACAUCAGAAAAGAAAAUUCAAUUUUUAUCAUAGUAGUGCUAAGUUCCACAAGUCCCAUAUAAUUC